GGGAGCCCGGUGAGCUGAGAGGUUCACGCCGGGUUCUGAGAGCAAUUGAGGGGGCAGUUCCCCGGCUGACUCAUCC
rnacentral:ncRNA from 1 species